rnacentral:rRNA from 1 species
UUCGUCAGUCUGCUGUGAAAGUCCAGGGCUCAACCCUGGAAUGCCGGUAGAUACUGCGAGACUUGAGUCCGGAAGAGGUGAGUGGAAUUCCUGGUGUAGCGGUGAAAUGCACAGAUAUCAGGAGGAACACCAAUUGCGAAGGCAGCUCACUGGGACGGUACUGACGCUGAGACGCGAAAGCGUGGAGAGCAAACAGGAUUAGAUACCCUGGUAGUCCACGCCGUAAACGAUGGGCACUAGGUGUGGGGAGUNUCGACGCUCUCCGUACCGUAGNUAACGCAUUAAGUGCCCCGCCUNGGGAGUACGGCCGCAANGCUAAAACUCAAAGGAAUUGACGGGGGCCCGCACAAGCAGCGGAGCAU